UCUGGUUUGUUGCACCCUCUCCCCCUCAUUAACAAUGGUUCUAGAAGCGUAUGACUCGACAAAGUCCAGCUCCAAACGUACAAACCAACCCAAAAACAUUUCCGCUGUUUUCCUGCAGCCUCUCCCUCUCCAUUGACUGCACUGUCGCAGCACUGGGUGGUGGCAGAGUGCCGCUGGAUGUCCCGGCCAAGGAUCGGCUGCCGACUCUCUUAUAGUUGUUCCUUCAACUGCCAUAACACAUGACCGCAGAAGUUUCUGGAAACCCCAGGCAGCGCCAACGUUAUCAGCAAGCCAAGAUAGUGGAGAACUUACGCUGACGGAGCUAGACGCAGAGAGAGAGAGAGAGAGAGAGGAUGAUACUGCCGGUGACGAAGCUGGGGACGCUCGCCGUCAAGACUUUCUGCAAGCCCGUCGCCAAUCGCCUCAAGAAAGAAGCCGGCUUGCACCCCAAGUUCCGGCAGCUCAUCAUAAGCAUUGCCCAGGCGAAUCAUCGAUUUGCAACACAAGUGCAAAGGCGAAUCUAUGGUCGUGCGACAGAUGUUGAAAUCCGCCCCCUUAAUGAGGAGAAAGCUGUCCAAGCUGCUGCCGAUCUCAUUGGGGAGCUCUUCGUCUUCACGGUUGCUGGAGCUGCGAUUAUCUUUGAAGUGCAGAGAAGUUCGAGGUCAGAAGCAAGAAAAGAGGAGAUGCGGAGACAAGAAAUAGAGGCAAUGAAGCAAAGAGAUGAAGAACUCUCGAGGGAGGUUGAGCUUCUUAAGCACAAACUGGAAGAAGUGGAGGAACUCGCAAAAAGUCGUGGACUUGGUGGAAUUCUUAAUUUCAGGCACGCACAUGCUACUGCAAAUGAUAGAGCAAAGCCAUCUUAACAUUCCUGUGUAAGGAAAACUAUACUUUCAUGUGAUCUGAUUCUGUUCUGCUCCCAUGAUGUCAACUUGCUGAAUGCAUGUUCUGACUUAGGGUCGGAGCAAUUUUUUGCAUACAACAAUAAUACUGACAUGGGACAAAAGAAAGGAUAACAAAGAUAGGCUUAAAUCAGCUGCAGGGGUUCAUCAGUUAUGUCAUGAUAGAAGGCAAAUCAGUCUCAGAGCUAUUGCUAUCCCAGAGACCUUCCUCGGUCUGUCCUGUUAGAAUCUGCAACUACCACAAACUUAAACGCUCACUGCUGGAUUAGAUUUUGGAGCUCUUUUUCAAAGCUUUCCAUUCAGCUUCCUUUCUCAGGGAGCCGUCUUCCUCACCUCUCUCUACUUCCACUCCCACCUUGAGGUUCCUGCUCAUCAUCCUCGCAAUGAAGAUAUGAUCACCCACGUGUGGAAGAAGCACAAGCUGGCACUUAUUUACUAGUGCCUCGAGUAUCGAGUUUGACCCGCAGUGAGUGAUGAAGCAUCCGAUGGAUGGGUGCUCCAGUAUCAGCUGUUGCUGGAUCCAUCCACCGUGAACUACUCCUCUCCCUCGGGUCCUCUCCUCAAAUCCUUCUGGGAGGGCUGAAUCAACAGAGUCGCAUUCGAUCGGAUGUUUCAGUGCUGCCAGAAAAGGUAGGCCUGUGAGUUCUAGACCCAACACAAGUUCCUGAAACUGAUCUUUCUUUAAGGUCCAUUCGCUCCCCAAGGCACAGAAAACCACAGAGCCGGGCUCGAAAUGUGCUAGUCAGCGGGACCACUUCUCAUCCAAAGAGGAAAUCGGUGGUUCGGGUAUGGUGGGGCCAGAGAGAAGGACAGGCUUCCCAAACUGGCUCCUAACAUACUCAAUAUACGGACCCUCAAUCUCUUGACAUGAUCUGAAGGCCAGAGCAGCAGCCUCACUCCGGCUGGUGAGCAAGUGAUCCAUAAACCGCAUGUUACUACCAUACGUCAUGAACGCCAUCUGAGCAAUGUGUCUCACCUCAUGGAUGUGGAGCUUGAUGGACUCAUCGGGAUAUUCCUCAGCUCAUGAGCCAGCUCGUGCUUGUCCACCUCGGCCUGCCUAGUAGGACAGAGUAAGUAACCUUCUGUGGCUGUACUGACACUACAGUAGAGAUGGAAGGGAUCCCUGGGGCCGAGCUAGGCCUGGCAUCCAGUAGGCGAAGUCAUAGAAGACGACCUGAGGCUUCAGAUCGCGGAGCAAGAGACGGAUAUCACUCUCGGUACGGUCCAUUGCAGUCAUGAUGAGCGAGUGCAAUGGGGAGGGCAUGUUGGAAGUCGUUUCAGCCCCAGGGGGAAGGCCCUCACGGUGAUCCGGCACGAAGACAAUGAGUUUAGGGUGGAGAUUGAAGGGCUCCAACUUGGGCUGCGUCCUGGCGGGGAUCAGGAAUGAGAUUUUGUGCCCUCUUCUUGCCAGUUUGUUGGCCAAGUGCAUGAAUGGCGUGAGGUGACCCAUUGCGAACCAAGGGUACAUCAUUAUGUGCAAGGCAGAGACACCCGACGUUGAACACAUAAUCGCAAUGGCGUCAAGAACCGAAACUAACGAUAAGGAUCAACCGUGUAUAAUUAAUGAAAUGCUAAUUGUUGAUACAAAAAUCAUCAACUUCUAUAUUAAAUUCAUGGAGUACAUGACUAUGAGAACAUUUGACGGAGAGAGAGGCUCACACUCUCAUACGCUCUUUCCCUCUAUUAUAUACUUCACCAACUUGCCUUGUUUUGAUGGAGAAGAGAGGCGAGAGCUCCUUUCUGUCCAGCAAAAAAUAUGACUCUUUUUUCUUUCCCGCGUUGGUUUGCCAAAGUAGUCUUUGCUCUCAUGAGAUGUUCUAUUUC